GACAGCUUCUCCAUUCCCGUCUCAGGUACAGCUCCUCCCUUCCAGCCUCAAGCACCGGCCCGCCAUUCCCGCCUCAGCCAAAGCCCCUCAUCCCCGCUUCAGCCAGAACACCCCCUCUUCCCGCCUCAGCCAAAGCCCCGCCAUCCCCGCCUCAGCCAAAGCCCCGCAAUCCCUGCCUCAGCCAAAGCCCCGCAAUCCCUGCCUCAGGCACCGCCUUGAAGGGCGGGCCCUCGCGGCAAACACGCUGGAGAUUGAGUGUUCCUGCCUGUCCCUCUGUUGUUGGGACAAGUGAUGCUUGUGGUGUUUCCCCAGUGCUGGUGACUGACAUUCCUCCCUGCUGCUCCUGCCAGGAUCUCCUGGAUGCUUCUGAUGUGGGAUUUGCUCAGCAAGAGAAUUCAGCAUUUGAGGAUUACCUAGAAAUUUCCAAUUUCUCAACUCAGGAGAAGACUUGUAGAUCAUUAACUGCACUGGAUACCUAACACAAGAUCUGGGUACAAUUUGGAUUGGAAUCACUUGGAUAAACAUUAUCAGAGGAAAACUCUGUGUUUUGAUCCAGCAUGAGCUAAGACAACUUCAAUGAGGCCAGAGGCUUUUCACCCAAAAGCAGACCACAGGAAUUCAGAGAGUGAAGCUGAAUGAAGCCAUGGAACUGAGUCAGGCCCCAAAAACCCAGGGAAAAUCAGGAAGCAUUUGCCACCAGAUUCUUUCAGUGUAAAGGAACCCAAACAUGUCAUUGCUAAUUGAUAUCAGCAAAGAGAAGCAGAAGGCUGGACCAGCCAUUCUUCUGGGCAGGAGCUGAAAAGAUCAAGAAAGACUCCUGAUGUUAUCUUGAAAAAGGAUGUAGGCUACUGGCUAAGGUUGGGAGUAAUGGGAGCAUGUGCAGCUCGGUCUCUCCAUACAAGGUAACGAGCCUUCUGAACAAGCUGCCAGACACUGACACACUUCCUGAAACAGCAAGUAUGUGUUUGCUUCUUCUUAACCUUCAUUUUAUAUCUGAGUUGGGACCACAAUGUUCACAUCCCACAGGCUUGAGCCUUUCAGUUUCUAGAUCAUCACUGAGGAACUGACAUUUCACUGAAACAAUAGGGUGAAUGAGAACAAUAAUAAUUUGUCUUUUGCCUUCAGCGGGAAGCAAAAGUAGAAGGUGGAUAAACAGAAACAUAUUCUGGGCUCAUUGAAAUCAAAUGUAUUUCACAAUGUAGUGUGUGUUAGAACUUUUAGUGCUCUGAAUUAAGCAGAAUAUAGAGCAAGCAGAACCAUGGGAUGGUAGGGCUGGAAGGAAUAAGAAAUCACCUGAUACAAGGCAAAAGCCACAGCCUUUGGAGGGUUCCUGGCAGGCAUUUGUCAGCCUGCCUUGAAAUCUUCAUUAAGGAUGCACAAAACCUCAAAUUUUCCUGCUGUUCAUGGCCCUUUCAUUACAAAAUAUGUCUGAUAAUGUAACCUGAAUCUUUCUUGAAUUUUAUCUUGUAACUUCUGCAGACACAUAAAAUAGCCUUCUACAUGUCCGAGAGGCUGUUAUCAAGGCUUUCCUCAGUCUGUUUGGCUAAAUAUCCCACUGUUCCAAUAUUUUACCCUAAUUCAUAAUUUAUAGAUCACUUCAUCAUUUUUAUUGCUGUGUUUGGGACUGUCUCUGACCAGUCCAUAGACUUCUUGAAGUGUGGUCCCUGACACAGCCACAGCAAUCCAGCUAAAGCCUUAUCAGUGCUGCUCUAGCAAAAGGGUUCCUCUGCAAGCUUGUCUGCUAUCCACAUUCCAGAAUGACACUGUGUUGGCAGCAGCGUGACGUUGUUAACUCCCAUCCUGUCUGGUCUCAGAUGUCAUUUCUGUCCUUUCUAUCUGAAUUUCCCCCUCCUCAGCUAUUCCACAUUUUCUGUCUGAGCAGGUUAUUAUUCCUGAGCACGGUGCUUACGCUUGUAGAAGUCAAAAAAGAUUAAAAGUUUUCCGUUUGUAUCUCCAGUUUGUCACAACUAUGUGGAAUCCUAUUCUUGACCUCCAGAGUACUGGCAAUGGACCAGACUUCAUUUGUCUCUAAGUCAAAUGAGCCUCUUCUGUGAUGUGACCCUUGGGUAAGGA